rnacentral:rRNA from 1 species
ACUCCUACGGGAGGCAGCAGUGGGGAAUUUUGGACAAUGGGCGAAAGCCUGAUCCAGCAAUGCCGCGUGAGUGAAGAAGGCCUUCGGGUUGUAAAGCUCUUUUGUCAGGGAAGAAACGGUGAAGGCUAAUAUCCUUUGCUAAUGACGGUACCUGAAGAAUAAGCACCGGCUAACUACGUGCCAGCAGCCGCGGUAAUA